rnacentral:rRNA from 1 species
AGAGAGAGACAUGCGCGCAUAUCAAUAAGCGGAGGAAAAGAAACUAACAAGGAUUCCCUUAGUAACGGCGAGUGAAGCGGGAAGAGCUCAAAUUUGAAAUCUUCAAGGGUUUACCUUUACGAAUUGUAGUUUAAAGAAGUGUUUUCUGUUGAGGUUUUGGUAAAAGUUCUUUGGAAUAGGGACAUCAUAGAGGGUGAGAAUCCCGUAUUUGACCUUUACUUUCAACUUUGUGAUACACUUUCAAAGAGUCGGAUUGUUUGGGAAUGCAGUCCAAAAUGGGUGGUAAAUUUCAUCUAAAGCUAAAUAUUGGCGAGAGACCGAUAGCGAACAAGUACCGUGAGGGAAAGAUGAAAAGAACUUUGAAAAGAGAGUUAAACAGUACGUGGAAUUGUCAAAAGGGAAGCGUUUGACACCAGUGUUGUUUUUCUGAAAAUCAAUUAAAGAACUGUUUAUGCUAAGUUGUUUAGACUUUAUCAGCUAACUGUUUAGUUUUGAGCUUUUCUUUAAUGCACUUUUCAGUUAACAAGUCAACAUCAAUUUCUUUUGCUGUAAAAAAGCUUGAGGAAGGCGGCUUGAGAUUCGUCUUAAGUGUUUAUAGCCUCUUGCCUAUGCAGUCGGAGAGAUUGAGGUCUGCAGCGUAGAUCCUUCGGGGCUAAAUGCAUUUGUGCUAAGUUAUAGCAUUUUAUAGACAACUUGUUGACUAUGAUUUGUCUUGUAGCUUACUCGCUUAUGUUAUUUUACCUACGCUUAGGAUGUUGAGCGCAUGUCUCUCUCU